AUGCUCGUUUUGGCAGCACAUUUACUAAAUUGGAAUGAUACAGAGAAGAUUAGUAUGGCCUCUGGGCAAGGAUAACAUGCAAAUUCAUGAAGUAUUCCAUAUUUUU